UCGCAAGAUGAGUGGCAGACGGGUGAGUAACGCGUGGGAAUCUACCUAGAACUACGGAACAACAGAGGGAAACUUCUGCUAAUACCGUAUACGCCCCUUGGGGGAAAGAUUUAUCGCCAUUGGAUGGGCCCGCGUAGGAUUAGCUAGUUGGUGAGGUAACGGCUCACCAAGGCGACGAUCGGUAUCCGGCCUGAGAGGGCGGACGGACACACUGGGACUGAGACACGGCCCAG
rnacentral:rRNA from 1 species